rnacentral:rRNA from 1 species
CGGCGGACGGGUGAGUAACGCGUGGGUAACCUGCCUCAUACAGGGGGAUAACAGUUGGAAACGGCUGCUAACACCGCAUAAGCGCACAGUACCGCAUGGUACGGUGUGAAAAACUCCGGUGGUAUGAGAUGGACCCGCGUCUGAUUAGGUAGUUGGUGGGGUAACGGCCUACCAAGCCGACGAUCAGUAGCCGACCUGAGAGGGUGACCGGCCACAUUGGGACUGAGACACGGCCCAA